CACACACACACACACACACACACGUAUAAAAUCAUGAGAAAUAUAGGCUUAUCAUUCCACUAUGCUUAGGCCAAAAUUGGAGUAUGCAGAGGUGGUGUGGGAGAGAAUACCAGAGGAUGAUAGGGUGCAGGAGUAUGUUAGGGAGAGGGGGAAAGAUCCUUGGGAAACUGAGCAGGCAAGGAGGGAGUGUCUGGAUAGAGAGAGAGAGAGAUGGAAGCUCUUCUGCUGUGGCCAUCCCCUGCUGGGUCCUUCUAGGGGCAGGCAGCGAUGAAAUGAUGAUGAUGGCGUGGUCAUAUGCCGGAGAGAGACAGAAGGGGAAGGAAGGUUUUGUUUAGUGGGCGCAACAUCUGUGGUCAUAUGCCGGAGAGAGACAGAAGGGGAAGGAAAGAAAGUUUUGUUUAGUGGGCGCAACAUCUGUGGUCAUAUGCCGGAGAGAGACAGAAGGGGAAGGAAGGUUUUGUUUAGUGGGCGCAACAUCUGUGGUCAUAUGCCGGAGAGAGACAGAAGGGGAAGGAAGGAAAGUUUUGUUUAGUGGGCGCAACAUCUGUGGUCAUAUGCCGGAGAGAGACAGAAGGGGAAGGAAAGUUUUGUUUAGUCGGCGCAACAUCUGUGGUCAUAUGCCGGAGAGAGACAGAAGGGGAAGGAAGGAAGGUUUUGUUUAGUGGGCGCAACAUCUGUGGUCAUAUGCCGGAGAGAGACAGAAGGGGAAGGAAGGAAAGUUUUGUU